rnacentral:lncRNA from 1 species
GUGUAGUGAGCGGAACGUGAUCAAGAAAGUCCACCUGCAGUUCCUCACCAAUCAAGGAGGCAGCAUCAGUGUUCCAAUCCAAACGCACUUUUUUACCUUUUGGUUCAGUAACAAGACGAAAAACUGCACAGCAUUCUGGCUGCAGACCUCUUACUUUAAGUGCCUUCAUGAGACAAUCAUGUAAGGUCAUCCCAUUUCGCACAUUUACCACUGUACGUUGCUUAUUGGGCAAGAAAACUCGAAUGGUAUUACUGGUUUUGGAAGUAUCUGAUAUCUUGCCAUCAUCAGAUGCUCGGCGCUGAUAACCAAACUGCUGGACAAUGGUCGGUGAAAUGCAGUUUGGGCCAUCAAAGACAGAAUCCUUGAGUCCAAAACCAUUACUGAUAGUCUUCCAAGCUCCCUGAAUGUGCUCCAUGGAUGCAGUCUUUCGUUUUCCUUUAUGUCAGUGAAGUCCUAUGACAAAAUGAUGAAGUGCAUCAUCUAUGUCACUCCCUCCCGACCGCCGCCUCCGGGCUCAUCUCCCUUCAGCGCCGUUCGUUUCGUUCCUCAUCUAAAAUGGCGGCCCCGCACCCAGCGAGACAUUUAUCCGCCGCCCAUCGAC